CCUACGGGAGGCAGCAGUGAGGAAUAUUGGUCAAUGGACGCAAGUCUGAACCAGCCAUGCCGCGUGCAGGAAGACGGCUUUAUGAGUUGUAAACUGCUUUUGUACGAGGGUAAAUCCCGAUACGUGUAUCGGGUUGAAAGUAUCGUACGAAUAAGGAUCGGCUAACUCCGUGCCAGCAGCCGCGGUAAUACGGAGGAUUCAAGCGUUAACCGGAUUUAUUGGGUUUAAAGGGUGCGUAGGCGGUUCGAUAAGUUAGAGGUGAAAUCCCGGGGCUCAACUCCGGCACUGCCUCUGAUACUGGCGAGCUAGAGUUUAGUAGCGGGAGGCAGAAUGUAUGGUGUAGCGGUGAAAUGCAUAGAGAUCAUACAGAACACCGAUUGCGAAGGCGGCCUGCUGGACGACAACUGACGGUGAGGCGCGAAAGCGUGGGGAGCAAACAGGAUUAGAUACCCGGGUAGUC
rnacentral:rRNA from 1 species